rnacentral:rRNA from 1 species
UGGGGAAUAUUGGACAAUGGGCGCAAGCCUGAUCCAGCCAUACCGCGUGGGUGAAGAAGGCCUUCGGGUUGUAAAGCCCUUUUGUUGGGAAAGAAAAGCGACCGGCCAAUACCCGGUUGUUCUGACGGUACCCAAAGAAUAAGCACCGGCUAACUUCGUGCCAGCAGCCGCGGUAAUACGAAGGGUGCAAGCGUUACUCGGAAUUACUGGGCGUAAAGCGUGCGUAGGUGGUGGUUUAAGUCUGCUGUGAAAGCCCUGGGCUCAACCUGGGAGUUGCGGUGGAUACUGGAUCACUAGAGUGUGGUAGAGGGAUGCGGAAUUUCUGGUGUAGCAGUGAAAUGCGUAGAGAUCAGAAGGAACAUCCGUGGCGAAGGCGGCAUCCUGGGCCAACACUGACACUGAGGCACGAAAGCGUGGGGAGCAAACA